UUCGGCUGGACGAAACACAGUGCUGCAUGGCUGUCGUCAGCUCGUGUCGUGAGAUGUUGGGUUAAGUCCCCGCAACGAGCGCAACCCUCACUUUUAGUUGCCACCAUUUAGUUGAGCACUCUAAAAGAACUGCCAGUGAUAAACUGGAGGAAGGUGGGGAUGACGUCAAGUCCUCAUGGCCCAUAUGAGUUGGGCUACACACGUGCUACAAUGGUACUUACAAUGGGAUGCUAAGAGGCGACUCUAAGCCAAUCCCAAAAAGGUACCUCAGUUCGGAUUGUACUCUGCAACUCGAGUACAUGAAGCUGGAAUUGCUAGUAAUCGUGGAUCAGCGCGCCACGGUGAAUACGUUCCCGGGUCUUGUAUACACCGCCCGUCACACCAUGGAAGUUGGUUACACCUCAAGGCAAAGCAUAAAACCUUUGACUACGGUACGAUCAGCGACUGGGGUGAAGUCGUAACAAGGUAACC
rnacentral:rRNA from 1 species